UAAGGUGUUAUAAUAAGCAGAUGUUGGG
rnacentral:piRNA from 1 species